rnacentral:rRNA from 1 species
GAUGAACGCUGGCGGCGUGCUUAACACAUGCAAGUCGAACGGGAAACCUUUUAUUGAAGCUUCGGCAGAUUUAGCUGGUUUCUAGUGGCGGACGGGUGAGUAACGCGUGGGUAACCUGCCUUAUACAGGGGGAUAACAACCAGAAAUGGUUGCUAAUACCGCAUAAGCGCACAGGACCGCAUGGUCCGGUGUGAAAAACUCCGGUGGUAUAAGAUGGACCUGCGUUGGAUUAGCUAGUUGGCAGGGUAACGGCCGCCCAAGGCGACGAUCCAUAGCCGGCCGGGGGGGGUGAACGGCAACAUUGGGAGUGGGACACGGCCCAGACCCCUCCGGGAGGCAGCAGGGGGGAUUAUUGCACAAGGGGGGAAACCCUGAUGCAGCGAGGCCGCGUGAAGGAAGAAGUAUCUCGGUAUGUAAGCUUCUAUCAGCAGGGAAGAUAGUGACGGUACCUGACUAAGAAGCCCCGGCUAACUACGU